GUCGUAGGUGUGUCUAAUCUCAUGGUGUUCUGUGCUACGACAUCUGAAUCGUGGGAGAUUGACCUGCUUGCUGUAGGGACAUCGUCUUCCGCAUUUUGCAUGCAGUUUCCAAGGCCCAUGCCAUCCAUGUCUCUCUGUAUAUGUUCUUUCACCUUAUUGUGUGUAGGAGCUGUGAUAGAAGGACUAGGUGAAGGUGUCUGCGUAGGAGUCUUACCCACAG
rnacentral:lncRNA from 1 species